AUGCAAACUAAUUGACAUGUUUGAUUUUAGUAAAGUCUCUAUAUUUUGUUGUUUGUUCACGUAUAGUGAUCCCUGCCUUGCUCAUGAUUGGUUGAUAUGAAACAGUUUGAUCGUUUUGAUGCAUUUUGAUGAUAUGAGCUAGUUAGUUGUUUCUUCUAGUAUCACUGAUGUUCUGUUUUAUCUAGCUUGAUCGACUCAUUUGCAUGGGUUUAAUUUUUAAAUGUGAACUGUUCUGUUCCAUAAAAAACUCAAGUCUUUAAUUAUGAUGUGUUGUGUUGGCUUUGUAAGCUUGGUUUUGUUGUUGUUAGCAUACACAUUCUGCUUUGGGUUGUGUGUGUUGCGAUUGACACAUAGCUUUUCUUUGGGAGCAGCAUUCAGUUCUCCGACGUCUAGCAAGUAUAGCUUUGAGUUCUCAGGUGGUGGUGGAGGAGGGAAAGGAAGAAGAUUCGUGGAGGUUUUGGUUGGGUUCGUAGUCGAGAGGUACUUUACUGUCUCUUCUUUUCUGAUGCACUUUUGGUUCUUUGGCAUUGGAUCAUCUUGAGUGGCUUGGUGCUAUGUUUUGUAGAAACUAGUGUUUGGAUUAGUCGUCAGGAAAUUUCAGUUCUGAUAUUGAGGCAGUUUGUGUGUAGUCUUUUACUAAUCAUGAGAUUGAUCAAUGGAUAGAGCUUUGAAACUUGUAACUUUUUUUUUUGUUUCCACCACUCAUGUGUUUUUGUGGGGUUUUUUUUAUAAGAAUUCUUAAUUAAGAGACUAGCAUUGGAGCACUAAACUAAUUGUUUCAAAAUGUUAUAUUUUAAUAUGUUUUAUUUUAUAAAUAA